ACGGACUUGCUUCCCACCGCGCUGAGACUCCUGGGAGGAGAAUCUUCUUGGAUAGAAGUAGCACCCUAAUCCCUGGGCUUCUGUGCCGUUUAGCAUGUGCUUUCCUGGAUCUCAAGGCCCAUGGCCUACCUUUCUCUGUCCAGGCAGCUCUGGGAGAGUGGAAGAGUGGCUCAUCCAUCUCUGAAAAGGAGAUUCCCCAGUACUGAGAACCGGGAAUGGAGGUUUUCUGAAGACAAACGUUUUCCUAAAAAUGGAAGAGGCAGAAAAAGGCCCAUUAUACCAUCAGUGCAGG
rnacentral:lncRNA from 1 species